CCCUUAGAUGUUCUGGGCUGCACGCGUGCUACACUGAUAUUGCCAAUAUGUCAUUCUUAUCCGAAAUGGAUUGGGUAAUCAAGUAAUGAAAUUUCAUGCUUGGAAUCGGUAAUUGCAAUUUUAUCGUGAACGAGGAAUUCCUAGUAAGCACUAGUCAUCAGCUAAUGUUGAUUAUGUCCCUGCCCUUUGUACACACCGCCCGUCGCUACUACUGAUUGAAUGCUCAGGUGAGCCAUUCGGACUUUCAUCAUGCUGGUUUCCAGUUUUGAUGAAGGAAAGUCUUGCGAACCUUAUCAUUUAGAGGAAGGAGAAGUCGUAACA
rnacentral:rRNA from 1 species